GAUGAAGAACGUAGCGAAAUGCGAUAAGUAAUGUGAAUUGCAGAAUUCAGUGAAUCAUCGAAUCUUUGAACGCACAUUGCGCCCGCCAGUAUUCUGGCGGGCAUGCCUGUUCGAGCGUCAUUUCAACCAUCAAGCCCCCGGCUUGUGUUGGGGACCUGCGGCUGCCGCAGGCCCUGAAAAGCAGUGGCGGGCUCGCUGUCACACCGAGCGUAGUAGCAUACAUCUCGCUCUGGGCGUGCUGCGGGUUCCGGCCGUUAAACCACCUUCAUAACCCAAGGUUGACCUCGGAUCAGGUAGGAAGACCCGCUGAACUUGAGCAUAUCAAUAAGCGGAGGA
rnacentral:misc_RNA from 1 species